rnacentral:rRNA from 1 species
AUUGAACGCUGGCGGCAGGCUUAACACAUGCAAGUCGAGCGGGGUGAUGGUGCUUGCACUAUCACUUAGCGGCGGACGGGUGAGUAAUGCUUAGGAAUCUGCCUAUUGGUGGGGGACAACAUCUCGAAAGGGAUGCUGAUACCGCAUACGUCCUACGGGAGAAAGCAGGGGAUCACUUGUGACCUUGCGCUAAUAGAUGAGCCUAAGUCGGAUUAGCUAGUUGGUGGGGUAAAGGCCUACCAAGGCGACGAUCUGUAGCGGGUCUGAGAGGAUGAUCCGCCACACUGGGACUGAGACAGGGCCCAGACUCCUACGGGAGGCAGCAGUGGGGAAUAUUGGACAAUGGGGGGAACCCUAAUGCAGCCAUGCCGCGUGUGUGAAGAAGGCCUUAUGGUUGUAAAGCACUUUAAGCGAGGAGGAGGCUCUUUUGGUUAAUACCCAAGAUGAGUGGACGUUACUCGCAGAAUAAGCACCGGCUAACUCUGUGCCAGCCGCCGCGGUAA